rnacentral:rRNA from 1 species
UACGAAGGGUGCAAGCGUUACUCGGAAUUACUGGGCGUAAAGCGUGCGUAGGUGGUUCGUUAAGUCUGAUGUGAAAGCCCUGGGCUCAACCUGGGAAUGGCAUUGGAUACUGGCGACCUAGAGUGCGGUAGAGGCAGGUGGAAUUCCCGGUGUAGCGGUGGAAUGCGUAGAGAUCGGGAAGAACAUCAGUGGCGAAGGCGGCCUGCUGGGCUGUUGCUGACGCUGAGGCGCGACAGCGUGGGGAGCAAACAGG